UAGUGGUCAUAUGUCACUCCAGUCAUGAAAUGUGCUUCAAAAGCAGGUAAAUUUAUCACCCAUUCGCUAUGGUCAAGCAUUUGAUUGAUCUUGUUGUAACAUUAACACUGUUUUUUAUUGCAUGUAAAGUAAGCACCAGAGGAUUUCAUGUCCUGCAAGUCACAAUUUGCCAUACAUUUUCUAAAAAUUUUUUAUCUCAGCAAGAUUCACUAGAUUACCCAGUAUUUCCCCUGCAUUAAGUACACAAUUAAAAUUGUCCAUUAUUGGCCAUGGUCCAGUCAUUUGUGUUCCUAGAUUCUCCAGGUCCACCCAUAACUCUCUUCUUAGUACAUUCUCCAGGUCCAUCCAUAACUCUCUUCUUAGUACUUGGUCAUUAUAACUAUGGACCAUAGUAAAGCCAAAACACCUGUUGUGUCCCCCUAUGUGUCAACUCACUAUGAAUAAUCUGAGUUGUAGUAUUACGUAUAUGUGUAUCAUAUGUAUUAGGUUUCCACACAAACCUAAUCCUCCCUCCUUAAUGAUCUAUCAAGUUAGCUAAGAAAUACCAAUCCUUGCAAAGAUUGAAAUCCACCUACUAAGAUUUAUUCCUCUUAAUCUUAUUUCCAUUAGACCAAACAGUUUAACAGAAUCUGAAUGCAUAAAUAACUACACUUCCUUCUCCUUCUCAAGUCUGUUUAGCCCUCUGGUGUUCCAAAACACAAUUUUAUCUAUUGGGAAGGGGUUGGCCCCCUCUAUUUUGCCUAGGAGUAGAACCCUUCUGAAGGACAUGCUUUGAUGCACAUAGUAUUUCCUCUUUCUCCACCUGAUUGUGCUCUCAUUGUAUGCAUUAUUACUAACUGUCACAGCUGUAGAGUUAGCACAAAUUCUUCACCCAAGAGAUGUUACUUCUUUGAAAGUGUAUGGUAUCUUUUCUCCAUCUUUCCUCUUUGUCGAACUAUGUUGUUUAUUCUUCUCUUAUGGUUGUUCGCUUUGCCCCCUUUGCUGCCUUGCUACAUUCUCUUUGCCCUACACAUUAUUAUCUUCUUGUUACCUUCUACAGUGUUGAACAUCAUGUCGAAAGUUCUUACAUUUCGUGCAAAACACCUACUUUCAUUCAUAGUCCAGACAUUGUUCAAUGAUCUUUCCAUAGUUAUUCUCAAACAUAAUCCUCGUUGGAUACUUCUUGUUCAGUGGUAUCUCAAUUAAUAUUCGUGCAUAGGUCAUUCUCUCCUUCUUCAUUGCAGCCUAUCUGCCUUUAAGGGAUUUUUUUAACUAAGAUAACAAUUUUGGUUAGAGCAUUCUUGCCCCAAUACUUGACAUCUAGACCAGGUAAUCUGAUUCAAAUGGGUACUUUAUCCAUACAAUCCUUGGUCACCUCAAUGUCUGGACUCCAAGGCUUCACCGCUAUUGGCUUGCAAUUGAACAUUUGAACACAUCCCUCUAUUGCAUUUUUUCUAUUCGCCUAGGUAUGGAAACGGACUAAGAACUCUCCCCAAUUCACCUAGUCUACUUUAUCAAUCCUCAUAUCUUUCCAAAUUCAAUUAAAAAAAACCAUUAGUAAUUGGAGAGGGUUUGGCCCCAAUACAUAGCACACAAUAUCUGUACUCCCGGACUCAAUCUCUUCCUAGAUGUCAUCAAGUAAGAUUUUGACACUAGAGUUUGAUUUAGACGCACUGAAAUCAAAUCCUUCAUUAGCAAUACCUUUCCCUACUCUUCAACUCCACAAAUUUGCCACUGUAGUUGUUGAUUUUGCAAUACCAUCACUAGAUCCUCCUAUAGCUUCCUCAUCCACUAGAUCUGGACAUGAUUUCUCCAAGAUGGUAUAGCUUUUGUUGUAGGCCUCCCCAGAUUUGGGCUCAACUGGAAGGGGGUAAUCCCUUGGUGUAGAUUGAUACUUUUGGUUUGGUUUGCAUCACACGAUUGUGGUAUCCCUCGAAUUCGCAUGCCUUUGCUUGUUUGGAUACGUUGUCCUCUCAUUCCCAUCCAUGAUAAAAAAUUGUUGGUGAAAUCAGCAAUCAUCGAGAGGAAUCGCCAUCCUAGAAAGAGAGAGCGCCUAUUUUUUAUUUUAUCCAAUAAAAAUUAAAGAAGUUUACUUUUUCUUAAUAGCAUCAGAUCUUAACUACUCAGUUGUUACGUCCACUUUGUAUGCAUUGUCUCUGAUCCUUUCAAGCAUUUGAAAGGGUCCAUCUCAUCUUGACAUAAUCUUGUUCUUUCUUUUGCUUGGAAAUAUAUCUUUUCUAAAGUGAAUCCAUACCCAAUCACCAGGUACAAAGGUAAAAAGUUUCCGUUCCUUAUUUGGCUCUUUUGGUUACAUUUUUGUUGGCUUUCUCAAGUUGCAAUUUUACUUUCCCAUGAAUGUUCAUAGCUUUUACCUUAAUUUCUGCAUCUAUACUCACUAUAAUAUCUUUGGACAAAAGAGUUAAGUCCAAUAGAGUCAACGUAUUAAAGCCACAAAUACAAUUGAAAGGAAUUAUACCAAUAGAUCUAUGAAUAAUUUUAUUAUUUACAAACUGAAUUAAUGAAAAUUGAACCUUCCAAGAAGUUAACUUUCCUUUAAUCAUAGCUCUAAGCAUGUUAUGAAAAGUUCUCUUAACCACCGUGGUUUGACUAUCCAUUUGAGGAUGACAGGAAGUAGAACACAGCAAUUUGGUUUCCAAAUUGCCCCAUAAAUACCUUCAAAAAUGACUAAGAAAUUUUGAAUCUCUAUCACUAAUAAUUAUUUGGGAAACACCAUGAAAUUCAUCACAAUACUAACAAAUAAAGUAGCAACAUGAGAUGCAUCAUCACUUUUAUGACAAGCAAUAAAGUGAGAAAAUCUAUCCAGAAUAACAAAAAUGUUAUCCUUACCAUUUCUAGUCCUUGGGAGGCCAACAACAAUAUCCAUAGAAAUAUCUAGCCAAGGACCAGUAGGAAUAGGCAAAAGGGUGUACGAUCCAUGGGGUUGGAUACAAGAUUUAGCAUGCUUACAAUCCAAACACCUAGCACAAAUUCUCUUCACAUCUCUUAUCAUCUUAGACUAAAAGAAAUGUUCACUAAGAAUAGCUAAGGUUUAUUGACACUCCAAAAUGACCCAUCAAACCUUCAUUGUGUGCCCUUUUCACCAAUAACUCUCUCCAUGAAGAUAUAUGCACACAAAAUUUUCCAUUUCUAAAUAAGUAGCCCUCAUUCAAUUCAAAAUUAAGAGUUCUAACUUCAUUUCCCUCCUUAACAACUUCCACACACCUAUUCAAGAACUUGACACUCUUCAAAGACUUUUUCAAAAUCAUCAUCAUUAUAAUAUAAUUCCUUUACACUUUCAAAACCCAUUAACCUAGAAGUCAAGGUAUUCAUCAAUGCAUAUCUUCUAGAUAAAGCGUCUGCCAUAAUAUUCUUUUUAUGUUGCUUAAUAAUUAAUCACAUAUAGAAAAGACUCAAUAAACUCUAUCCACUUGGCUUGCCUCUUAUUAAGAUUAUUGGGGACCCUAAUAUACUUCAAAGCCUCAUGAUCAGUUCUAAUCACAAACUCCUUAUGCCAUAAAUAAUGUUUUCAAUUUGCUAAAGCUCUUAUUGGGGCAUAGAGUUCCUUGUCCUAUGUAUAAUAUUUAAAUGGAGCUCCUCUUAAUUAGAACUCUUUGUCAUAUGUAGAAUAUUUCAAUGGAGAUACUCUUAAUUUCUCACUAAAGUAAGCUAUGGGUUUCCUUUGUUGUCAUGACUGCACCAAUGCCUACUCCACUAGUAUCACACUCAAUUUUAAACAUCUUGUCAAAGUUAGGAAACUGAAGUAAUAGAGUUUUAAGUUUUUAUUUCAAGAUUCUAAAGAUUUUCUCUUAUUUUCUACCCCAAAUAAAAGGUUUCUUCUACUUAAUUACCUCGGUUAGAGGAGCAGAUAGAGGAUUAAAACUCUUCAUAAAUCUUUUGUAAAAGCUCACCAACCCAUGAAAGAUUUCAAUAUCACUAAUGAACUUAGGAGUUGGCCAACUUCUAAUAAUCUCUAUCUUUUUGUCAUUCACCUUAAAUCCUCUUAAACUUACAACAAAGCUAAGAAAAAUAACACGAUCCAUAUAGAAGGAAUACUUUUUAAGAUUUAUAUACAACUUUUUAUUUCUCAACACAUCGAUAUUAUCCACAAAUAUUACACGUCAUCAUCCAAACACUUGUUAUAAGUCAAAAUAACAUCAAGAAAAAACACAAUAAAUCUUUUAAUAAAUGACGUAAGUACAUGUCAUUAAUCGUAUAAAAUGCUUGGUGCAUUGGUUAGUUCAAAAGGCAUCACCAUCCACUCAUAUAAUACAAAUUUAGUUUUGAAAGCGGUUUUUUAUUUUUCUCUAGAUUUCAUUUGAAUUUGAUGGUGUUCACUUCUCAAAUCAAUUUUAGAGAAUAAGGUAGAACCAUACAAUUCAUCUAGUAUAUCAUCAAAUCUAGGAAUGGGAUGUCUAUAUUUUUUCAUAAUUUUAUUAAUGGCAUGUCAAUCUACAAAUCUUCCAUGUCUCAUCCUUCUUGAGUACUAGAAUCACCCACACCGUACAUGGACUUAAACUUUCUCUCACCAAUCCUUUAUUCAAAAGUUCCUCCACUUUGCUUUGUAAUUCUUUGGUUUCUUGAGGAUUUCUCCUAUAAGUCAUUUUUUGGGGUAUUUAAUAAUCCGAUACAAAGUCAAUUUCAUGCUCUAUUCUUCUCAAAGAAGGCAACUCCAUUGGUAUUUCUUUCAAAAAUAGAUCUUUAUAAUCUUGCAACAAAAAAAAUAAUACUUGACAAAGACAAAGAGGUUAGUCCAUUAUUGGAAAGAAAAGAAUAACCUUUAGGUUUAAUAAAUAUGACUUAAGUAGCAUCCUCAAUGUUUAGCUCUUUUAUGCUCUCUUGAUUUUGCAAAAUCAUGCACAUUUUCUCUAUUUUAUGAUUUUUAAAAAAUUUUCUGCUCACCUUUUAUUUGUGAUAAGUCAUUCUCAUUUGACCUCUCAACCUCUCCAUUUUCUUCUCUUGAGUUAUUAUUUUUUGCUCCCCUACUCCUCUCUUUCAUUUUUCUUUCAACUCUCCUAUGUUUUUAUAUUCUUUACCCAGUUGAAAAGGAUAAAGAGAGUUAAGAAUGUGCUUUUUACGAUCCUUAAAUGUAUAUUUAUUUGACCUUUCAUCAAUUUUAUCCGCUACAUCAUAUUUGCAUGGCCUUUCCAACAAUAAAUGACAAUUUUGCAUUGGUACAACAUCACAAAACACCUCAUCAUGAUAAAUUCCAACCUUGAAUUUCAUCAACACUCUCUUGGUCACCUUGAGUUCACCAUAUUCGUUGAGUCAUUGCAAUCUAAAAGUUUUUGGAUGCCUUCUUGUUAGAAGUUUCAAUUGUUCUACCAUAGAUAUACUAGGAAUGUUGACACAACUUUCACUAUCAAUGAUAAAGAAAUAUAAUUGUUCUUGAUCUCUACACCAAUUAUGAAAUAAGUUCUACUUUGAUCAAGAUAUUCCCUUGCUAGAGCACUCAUAUUUCUCCUCAAUACGCAUAAGUUUUUCAAUCAUCAUUAAUUUCUUCUCCAUCACCUUCUCUGAUAAACUCAUCACUACUACUAUCUCCAUUGUCAUCUUUAGAUUCAUCUUUAGUUUGAUAACCAUCAUCAGUCAAAGCAAUGAUAGUUCUUCUAUUAGACCCUCAUUUAUUUUAUGACCGUAUCCUUGACAUUUAAAAUACUUUAUUUUAGUUAGAGUUUCAAGUUUAGCUUUGUUACCUCAUCCUUGUAUUCCACAUUUUGAUUUGCCUUUGUCUAAUGUUUACUUGAAAGUUUGUUUUGCACCUUUGGAUUUGUCUCAAGUGAGAUAAUUUUAAACUUUUUUAUUCUUAGCCAAUGAAGAAGAAGAUUGAACCUUUGACUUAUUCUCAUUUUGAUAACCCUCCACUUUGAAUGCCAUUUGAUAAGAUUCAAAUAAAGUAAAAAGAAGAUACAAUUCUAACGGUUGAGUUACCUCCUUAUAUAAGAACCAGAUAAAUCUUUUGACAAGCUUCACAUCUUUAACAUUGACAUUAGCUCGAAGCCUAGUAUGCUCUAGCUUCUCAUAAUUACCUUCCACACUCCUGCUUCCUUGUUGAAUAUUGUAAUAAUUCUUGAGUGUAUUUUGUUCCUACUAUUGACCCACAAAUCUUUCUCUCAUACACCUUUUCAUUUCAAUCCAACUUAUAACAAAGUUUCAUUUCACUAAAGCAUCCCUUUCAAUUUUCUCCCACCAUGUAGAAGCAAAACCCUCAAGGUGACUUAUAAUAUAAUUCAUUUAUUUAAAAUCAUUCACAUUGUUGAGAUUAUAUUGCAUUUAAAAUUUCACAAUCCAAUCAAGAUAUUCAUUCAGAUCACCAAUUCCUUUGAAGAAUGAAAGUGUAACCUUGAUAUUAUUGAAUCCUUAAUCUUCAUCGUCAUUCCUUCUAUUGUAUUCUCUUAUGUCAAUCUGACCAACCUCCAUUCCCUUCUCUUCUUUCUCUCCCACCUAACCUCUCUUGUUGAACUUGAUCAUUGACUCGAUAAUUAUAAUUAUCACCAUCAAAAGAAUCAUGCUUUAUAAGGUUAUUAUGGACUCUUAUUUGAGGUUUAUUUUCUUGUGCGAAAAGAUUUCUUUUUUGAUUUUCACCCUUUGAAAGUGUUGCUUGAUUGUAAAAUUUUCGUAAAGUAGAUCUAGGAUAUAGAUAUCUUACAUAUCAUGUGGGAUGGAGUUGUAUUGGGAGGAGUCUUACUUUAUCCCUCACCAUGUUGACCAAUGGGAUUUAAAACCUCAAGUGGUUGCUUUGAUAUUUCUUGAUUUCUUACCCUUCUAACCACAUCUUUCAAUUUCCCUUCAUUUCUUCCAAAAGUUUUUGAAGCAAUAUUUCCAUUUUUUAGAGUAAUCUCCUAUCAGUUGAGUCAUUGUACCUACAAAAUAAAUAGAGUUACUAUAAGGAGUUCCUCACCACUCAGUCACAUCAUGUUUCCCUAUCUUUGUCACUCGCACUCAUGUAUCACUCUACGACCAAAGGCUUUUAAGGCCAACCUUAAAUGAAAUGACCUCACACUUGUCUUUUACUACUAUUGAAUAACUCAAGAUUGAGAGUCAACACCGUAAAAUAAUUCACAAGUGGGACUACUUCUUUGGGAUGGAGUGGAGUUUAUGUAAUUAAGAAACAAAAGUUAAAACUAAAGGACAAAGAAACAAAUAAUCAUACAACGAAAUAAAAGAAAAAGUCAUAAAAUAAUUUGACACGAAAAAUUAAAUGGGCAAAAAAGCUAGUUUAACAUCAAGUAUGAAUUAAUACUCAAAGUAAAAGUACUAGAAUUAACAAGAAUAUAAGAGAAGACAAGUUUGAAAGAUUUGGACUAUUUUGUAAUUCUCAAAUUUAGCUUCUUCUCCAAGAAGAAGCUUAAAAAAUUAAAAAACAAAAAGUCAAUACCCUUCAAUAACUAAAUAAAUGAGCUCAAAUUUGAGGUAUAACUUCCCCACAACUCUAUUAACAACUUCUAACCAACAAUUUCCUCAACCAAAUAAAAUCAACAAAACUCAUUUCCAAAUUUUUUCUUCAAAUUGGCUUCAAUUUUGUAAGCCUUGUUUUCUUUAGUUUUUUUUUUUAAACUAUGAAACAACAACAUGACACUCAAGGAAUAAUAUCAAACAAACUUUAAUCAAAUUUAAAUUUUGUGAAUUUUGUUGUUUGAAAAUAUCAAAACCAAAAGACUUCUAAUCCAAGCUCUUAAUACCAUUUGAUGGGAAACAAGAAAAUAAACUUGAUAUGAAUUAAAAGAAAGAAAUUAAAGAGAGAUAGACACAAAUAAAUUCAAAUAAUUAAAAUAUGUAAUGGUGAACCUAAUCAAAACACCACUUAAUUACAAAUUAAGAGUACCUAAUCUAUUAGAAUCCUCAAAAAGGUAGAAACCUACUUACAAAUCCUAGGACAAAUGUUGAAGUUCAACAAAGGGGUCUUCAAGCUCUCUAAGAAGGAAUAAUUCAUCAAAAUAUCAAAAACUAAUGGUUCAACCCUAAUAGCUAACUAUUUAUAACAAGAGUUAAAGAGGUAAAGAAAGAUUGAAUUGUCCUUUAUUUAAAUUAGAAGCUACUUUAAAUGGUAAACACUUAAUAUAUUAAAAAUCUUCAAGUAAUCCAUCUUGGAACCUUCCAAAGAUUUCAUAUUCAUCCAUAAAUCUUGAAAUUCUUAAAGGUCCUUAGCUUGACUUCUUGUGAAAGACCUUCAUAAAAUAGUAUCACUUUGUGCUAGAGCUAUUUACAACCAUCCAUACUGCAAUAUAGAUCAGGCUACCACAACUUCCCACCAAACUCUAUGACAAAUAAAUCUUAGAAAGAGUAAGGAAAGAAUUGGGCUCAUUCCUAAAGAUAGAUACGUGUACCUCUGCUACCCUUAGGGGACACUAUGCAAGAAUUUGCAUAUAGGUUCCACUAGACAUACCAGUCAAAAUAGAGAUCACCAUCAAAACACAUAAAUAACAAGUAAUCUAUGAAGGAAAAGGCAUUUUACACACUAUCUGGGAAAAUUGGUCACCUUGCAACGAGUUUAGUUUCAACCAAAUUAAACAACCACCAAGUGGGACACCCUCCAUAUCAAUAGGAGUGCCCAUCACUGAAAACUUGGCAAAUAGUAUUAAGCCCAAGAAAGAAAAAUAACAUAAUUCCAAUAGGUUAAAUACACACAUUGAUACAACCUGAAAUUAUAAGAGGCACCCCCACACUACAGGUAACAACAUACGAUCCCCAUAAAGGUAAGCUCUAAGGUAAGCUCUCUAACUUAACAACUAUAGAUACAAUCCCUAUUUUCCAUUAGAGCUCUAAUAGUCAAGACACAAAAAAUGAAAAAGUUAUAGUAGGCCCAGUAAUUAGGCUAACAUGGCCCAAACCAACCAAUUUGCUAGCACUAGUGAAGAUACACAUCUUGAGUCCUCAACAUCAAAGAAGGGUAAUUCCAUUCCCACUACUUUUCCAAAAGGGACCCAAGCCUUAACUACCUAUGCCUCUACUUUGUUCCCUCCAUGUGGAAAAUUCCUCAUCUCCGUCUCAGAGAAACUACAACUCUGGAGAAAAUAAUCAAUACCUGGAUUUAGUUAAAGUGAAAAUAGUCAUCGUAUUAACAGAUAUCCCUUUGUCUAAAAAGCCCCAAUUAAAGAACCCAAAACUCUCACCAACAUCCCCACUUAUGUGCUUCACCCAUUUUCUCAAAAUCCAAAAAAUGGAAAACCAAGAUAAAUCCAACAAACAACCACCUCUACUCCAGUUGCUUGUCUUCAUCAAUGCACCCUUUUCUCCAAACCAUAAACCACUCCCAUGGAUGGAACUAAAAAUGAAAAAAAUGCAUCAAAUUAUAGUUCCUAGCAAGAAACCAACAAAUAGUCUUAAUCUUCUAAGAUCCAAUAUUCCUAGCCUAAAUCAUUAAAAAAGGGGUUAGACCAUAUAAUAGAGAAUAUGGGGACCCAGAUUUAGCAGCUAACUCUGCUUCAUAUCUAUCUUACAGGAAAUAUCAACAUGAAUCACUGUAAGAACUCAAUCUGCUAAUAGGACAAACCUUUCACCAGUUAUUUUUUUCAUUAAUCUGGUCUCUUUUGAGCUCCCAGAGAGAACUUUGUUCUAUAGAUACAGCAGGAAACCUCUUCCUAAGCCCAAUGCUCAACUUACACAACGGGGUAAGGAGGAAAAGAAAAAAUAGAAACCUCAACACUAGAAAUAUUGAGAAUGAGCAACCAAAAAUAUAAUAAAUACUAGGUAUGUUUUGAGAGUCAAAUACCAAAAAAUUAAAGUUAGAAAAACUCUAUCGAAAAGAGUUCAAACAACAUUUCAGCACAACUAUUAUAGCUACUUAUCGCAAGAUAUUAGAAUCACUAACCCUGAGCUUAAGAGAUACAAAUGAGAAAAUACUCAGUGUUGUGGCUCUGAGCCUAGUGAGAAAAUAGAGAAGGCCUCCUAAAAUAGGGAAAGGGAAGAGCAUUAUAUCUUAGGCACAAUAACACCCAGAUCUAAUGAACAUUAUUAUCAAGAAUUAUAGAGGUGCUAUAACGCCAAUGUGAGGCCAUGUCCCCCAACUAUAAACCCUCUAUAUUGGUUCUACUAGAGACCGAGAUGACUGAGCAUAUGUAGCUAACCCAAGACCUUAAGUUUCACUCCCCAAUCCAAUCCCUUAUUAAUGGUGUGGUUGGAGGUACAAUGAUUAUAUAGAAGGGUGGCAUCCUAAAUCUUAAUGAUAUCACUGUCACCACCCAAGAAAAACAUGCUUCUGUGAAAAUAAAUCCUGAUUCCCCCUUUGGUACUUGAUGUGCCAUGUUUCAUGGCAUUUUUAAUGCUUAAAAUAAUGAAAUUGUGCAAGUACUUAGGCAUUUUUUGUUAGAUGUGAUUUGUGUUUGUUUUACAGGAAAAUAGAGUUGGAAGUGAGUAAGAUGAAAUUAGGAAGAAAAAUCUUCAAAAAUUGAAGUCUCUGCUUUGACAACGAGUCAUUGGAUGAUGCUACGACUCAUCAUCCAAGUCGUUGUAUGACCAGUGAAGAAAUCAAAGAAAAAUAAUAAAGUAAACACCGGCUACGACUCAUAUGAUCUAACUAUGAUUUAUAGUUAAUAUUGAUUUGAGCAAAAAUAUGACAAAGUACUGAAAGAAUUUAAGUCUGAUCCCAGUGGAAAUGAUGUCGGUGAUAAGUUAUGGAAUCUGACUAUGACUCAUAGGACAGGUCAUCCAAAGUAUAUGGAAUAAAGAUCUAAAAGCUGAAAAGCUACUGCAGAAGCAACGAUUCAGGAAAUAACUCAUCAGGAGAUGUGAUGAGUCAUCAUCAAAGAGCAAUAAAAAUAGGAUAGGAGUAGACAACGAGUUAUCAUUAUUCCAAACGGCUCGUUGUCUGAGGCAUUACCACUGCCGUCCUUAUUUACAUAUUUAGUUUUUGCUAGAAUUUUUAUGAUUUAUUAUGUAACUAUAAAUUCCCCAUGGA
rnacentral:lncRNA from 1 species